ACGCACGCACACACACACACGUGUGAAGGGGCUGAGCGACCUGAGCUCCAGCAGGCUCUGCACCCCCGCACUUCCGGGAGGCGGCGGCGCGGGUUAAGAUGAUUGUGUGUGCCCCGGGAGUGCGAAAGUGGGUUGAAGUUGAACGGGCUUGAGAGUGUCCCUCCCACGUCUUGAGCACGCGUGGAAGUUUGUCUCUUGGUUAAGUUCCGGCGGGGGUUCUGCGCCGCCGUGUGCUGUACCUGGAAGUCAGAGAUUUGCGGUACUAGGAACCGGACUCCUCUGGGUCCUCGGCACAACACGUCACCCUUUGGGGACAUGCGGGGAGGGACUCGCUUUGCCUCAGAGGGACGCGUUUUCUAGAUGUGAAAUUAAGGUGUGACCCCAGCGCCCAUGGGGGGGUCAAAACCAACAUUUAAGGGUUCAAAACUCGGGAAACCCCGGCGAUCGCCUGUGCUCGAGCGCACACAGCUCGCGCCCGCCCUUUCCCCCUCCUGAUUUGCUUCUGGGAAAACAAGUCUUGAGAGCCGCCGACUCGCCCGAAAGUCACGCUGCCUAAGCCGGAGUCCCUGGUAGAAGCAAGCUAAACGCUCCCCUCCCCGCCCGCUGGUGGAGCCAUAUCCUCUGCGGCCUCUAGGAAGCGCUAGACACAUGCAGGUCUAAGUAGGACUCUCGGGCCAAUUAAGAACCGGAUGACCCUGCCAGGUGCACUUUCUGCAGACACUGGGUGGCGGUGAGGAUGAGGUUUCUUGAACUCACCAGAAAACUCUCGGAGUCUGUAUCCAAAUGAAGAGGAUGGAUUCUCUUGCUUGUAAGCAGACCGAGUCCCUGCAAACAUUCAUGCCAUGAAUUUAACAGAGAAGCAGACAGGCCAAGGAUCUUCUUUUGUGGAUUUCACUUUCUUCUGGAGGAGAAACGCAAUAGAUGAGUAGCACUGGAUACAGCAACUCACAUAGCGAUGACACAUCAUCAGAAAGAUCAUGAUGAGAUGGGUAGCGUGAGGAGCCAUUUGGAUGAUGAACUCAGGACAGGCUCUUUAAGGAAGUGGCAUUUGCAGAGCCCUGAAUACAGUUGUGAGGAUGGGCUGAAGAUUGGGAGGAAGAACGCUAGAAGUAGAUGGGACAGCAAGCGUAAAGACUGUGGCGUGGGGACACGUUGGACAUGUGGCAGCAACAACAGCAAGAUGGCUGAGGUGACUGCAAAGGCAGGGGCAGGAACAGCCACAAACACCGUUCCCACCCUAAUCUGAAAAGUGUAACACAGAGCCCUGCUGCGGUCACCUGAGUGUGGCACCACUUCAA